rnacentral:rRNA from 1 species
CAGGCUUAACACAUGCAAGUCGAGGGGCAGCAUGGUCUUAGCUUGCUAAGGCCGAUGGCGACCGGCGCGCGGGUGAGUAACACGUAUCCAACCUGCCGUCUACUCUUGGACAGCCUUCUGAAAGGAAGAUUAAUACAAGAUGGCAUCAUGAGUCCGCAUGUUCACAUGAUUAAAGGUAUUCCGGUAGACGAUGGGGAUGCGUUCCAUUAGAUAGUAGGCGGGGUAACGGCCCACCUAGUCUUCGAUGGAUAGGGGUUCUGAGAGGAAGGUCCCCCACAUUGGAACUGAGACACGGUCCAAACUCCUACGGGAGGCAGCAGUGAGGAAUAUUGGUCAAUGGGCGAGAGCCUGAACCAGCCAAGUAGCGUGAAGGAUGACUGCCCUAUGGGUUGUAAACUUCUUUUAUAAAGGAAUAAAGUCGGGUAUGGAUACCCGUUUGCAUGUACUUUAUGAAUAAGGAUCGGCUAACUCCGUGCCAGCAGCCGCGGUAAUACGGAGGAUCCGAGCGUUAUCCGGAUUUAUUGGGUUUAAAGGGAGCGUAGAUGGAUGUUUAAGUCAGUUGUGAAAGUUUGCGGCUCAACCGUAAAAUUGCAGUUGAUACUGGAUAUCUUGAGUGCAGUUGAGGCAGGCGGAAUUCGUGGUGUAGCGGUGAAAUGCUUAGAUAUCACGAAGAACUCCGAUUGCGAAGGCAGCCUGCUAAGCUGCAACUGACAUUGAGGCUCGAAAGUGUGGGUAUCAAACAGGAUUAGAUACCCUGGUAGUCCACACGGUAAACGAUGAAUACUCGCUGUUUGCGAUAUACUGCAAGCGGCCAAGCGAAAGCGUUAAGUAUUCCACCUGGGGAGUACGCCGGCAACGGUGAAACUCAAAGGAAUUGACGGGGGCCCGCACAAGCGGAGGAACAUGUGGUUUAAUUCGAUGAUACGCGAGGAACCUUACCCGGGCUUAAAUUGCAGAUGAAUUACGGUGAAAGCCGUAAGCCGCAAGGCAUCUGUGAAGGUGCUGCAUGGUUGUCGUCAGCUCGUGCCGUGAGGUGUCGGCUUAAGUGCCAUAACGAGCGCAACCCUUGUUGUCAGUUACUAACAGGUUCCGCUGAGGACUCUGACAAGACUGCCAUCGUAAGAUGUGAGGAAGGUGGGGAUGACGUCAAAUCAGCACGGCCCUUACGUCCGGGGCUACGCACGUGUUACAAUGGGGGGUACAGAGGGCCGCUACCACGCGAGUGGAUGCCAAUCCCCAAAACCUCUCUCAGUUCGGACUGGAGUCUGCAACCCGACUCCACGAAGCUGGAUUCGCUAGUAAUCGCGCAUCAGCCACGGCGCGGUGAAUACGUUCCCGGGCCUUGUACACACCGCCCGUCAAGCCAUGGGAGCCGGGGGUACCUGAAGUGCGUAACCGCGAGGAGCGCCCUAGGGUAAAACUGGUGACUGGGGC